rnacentral:lncRNA from 10 species
CGCUGCAACAAUAUGAUUCUGCGGAGCACCUCUUGGUGAAGCAGAUCUUCCUUUUUUAUGGCCACAGAAAAGAAGGAAUAAAGUCCAACGCUUAUGAAUAUGGGCUGGGAAGUUAGAAAGACCUGGACAACAAUCUAUGGUCUACCAUCUAUUAAGAGACAGGAUGUUAAUCGGUUGCCCAGGCUGAAGUGCAAUGGCAAGAUCAUGACUCAUUGCAGCCUCAACUUCCUUGGCUCAACUGAUCCUCCUACCUCAGUCUCCUGAGUAGCUGGAACUACAUGCAUGCACUACCACACCUGGCUAAUUUUUUUUCUUUUCUUUUCUUUUUUUUUUUUUUUUUUUUUUUUUGGAGAGAUGGGGUCUCUAUGAAGCAUGGUAGAGAAUGGUUAUAGCUAUGUCUUCAAACCAACUCUGUAAUCAGUUAAUGAGAAAUGGAAAGCUUGGAUAAGUGUUAUAUAUCACUCAACCAUUCACCAUUUAUAGAUUUUCUUGCCUAAUUUGUUAAGAUUGCUAGAAUUAAUGGAUAAUUAUAGUAAAAAUUGGGAAUCCUAAAAGGAGCUAACAGUUUUUUCUUUCUCUGAAGGUAGGGCCUGUCUAAACAAUAAGACCUUUAUUAUCAUCUCCAUAACAAAUAUACUCAGUCAUGAUUCUCCUGGUAAUAUGGGGGAGAAAAAUCAACAAAAACACAAGCUUUAUAACACAUGAGAUUCAUGGCUGUAAACGCUACCUAAA